AGGGGGAUGGGUGCUGAGGGUAAGGCACUGGGCUCCAGGGCCUUGGCAGGGGCAGGACACUGGGAACAGGGACUGUCGGCCAGGGCAUUUGGGUAGGGGUUGGCUAUAGUCAGCAAGGGCGCAUUACUUAGACCAGGCCUGACGUGGGGAUGAAUGGAGAUCCAGGGCUGCUAGAUCCCAUGGCCUGCAUCAAGGCAGGGACUUAGACAGAUCUGGCACCACAUGGAACUGGCUCUUCCCCAAAGUCGAAAUGACGGUGGGAGAGAAUGAUUCAGGACAUGCAGGCAGCCGUGAAGGUGCCACUAAAGACCCACACGAAAGAGGACUUCCUGAGCUGCUGCAGAACCUGGCAAGAAUGAUAGUAUGAGAGUGUGUGAAUUGAGGAGUAUUUUUAGGAGGAUUAAUGGCAAUGUGUCUUUUACCCUAAUAAAUUUUUUUUGUCCCUAACACAUUUUUUUUAAAAUUUAAAUAGUCAC
rnacentral:lncRNA from 1 species